rnacentral:rRNA from 1 species
UACAGAGGGUGCAAGCGUUGUCCGGAAUUAUUGGGCGUAAAGGGCUCGUAGGCGGUCCAUCGCGUCGGGAGUGAAAAGCUGGGGCUCAACCCCAGUCCUGCUUCCGAUACGGGUGGACUAGAGGUAGGCAGGGGAGAACGGAAUUCCUGGUGUAGCGGUGAAAUGCGCAGAUAUCCGGAAGAACACCAGUGGCGAAGGCGGCCCGCUGGGCAGUGGCUGACGCUGAGGCGCGACAGCGUGGGGAGCAAACAGG